UUUCUGUUACGGUAAAAUCUAUAAAUACUAAUACAGAUUUAUGGUUUAUGUUAUGUUCAUAUGAAUUGUCAUAUAAAUACUACAGAACUGCUUAGAUAUAUGAUUUGUCCUUUCUCUCUACAUCACCUGCAGAAACAAAGAAGAGAAACCCCUUUUCCAGGGACCUAUCUUAUUCAUCUUUUGCCCUGUGGCUUGGAUCCCCCUGCAGGGUUGGACCAAUUGUUCCAAAAACAAAGAUCCUCAAAAGAUUUUCAGUCAGACUAUGUGACAAGUCACCUCCUGUAGAUUGUCAUGCAGUUGAGGACACUGUGUUAAAACUAUUUGAAUCCAAAAAGAUGUAGCUGGACGUGUUGCAUGACACGCCAACAACAGAUUUCGCCAGGCAUUUUUCAGGCCUUUUGAUGGCAGACUGUGUGAAGCCACAGCUGAAAAUGUGGCCAGGGCUUCAUCCAAGGAGCUUGUUGUCCAUUUACCCUGGGUUAAAACCAUAAAAGAAGGUGGACCUGUCCAGAGUCAAAAUAAUUGAGGCACAGAAGCACUUGACAAACCUCAACCCAUCACAGGAAAAUCAGAUAGGUUUUCGUUGUACAACCGCUUUCAUCAGCAUAACCAAAAACAGGAAAAAGAGAAACUGAGAAGCCUUGAUCUUGUCCCAGAGCUCACUGUUCUCAUCAACUCUUCCAUGGCAAAGCAUAACUGGGAGCUUGCAAAUUCUUGAUACUUUCUUUGCCAGUUGAAAGAUAUUCAUUAUAUGUUUGCACUUCGAUUGGUGUUCUAUUUGCAUAACAGCAGAGUGAACAAAGCAUUUAUGGACAAAAUGCUAAGGUAGACACAAGGGUCAGCUGAAUUUGGACUGGAGGGAAGACUGUGCCUCUUCACUACAUGUGAGAUUGAUAGAAAUUUUAUCUUAAUUUGUAUGUUAAUCUUAUAACUACCUUGCAUAAAUGUUGAUCUAAACACUGUGUAUUGAUACAGAUAUACUGUAGGCACUCACUCAACAUUAAAAAAACCUGACUAUAUGAAAAAAAAAGAAGAAAAAAUUCAUCCCAUGGGAAGGACAACACUUCAGCACAUCAGUUUUCCCCAUCUUGAAGGAAAACAAGGACAAGCUUUCUGAACUGUACUCCACUGUACAAAAUGAUGCUUCUGUCCUUGUGCAAAUGAACAACUGUAUAAUAACAAUUAAGGACCUACUGACAAUCCUGCACAGUCCAUUUCGCCCGGAUCAGAAGACAUCC
ensembl:lncRNA